AGCGAACGCUGGCGGCAGGCUUAACACAUGCAAGUCGAGCGGGCACUUUCGUGUGUCCGCGGCGUACGGGUGAGUAACGCGGGGGAACGUGCACUCUGAUUCGUAAUGACGCAGGGAAACUUUAGCUAAUACCGGAUACGCCCGUUCGUGGGAAGGCUUGCUGCAGGAGGAUCGGCCCGAGUCUGAUUAGCUAGUUGGUGAGGGAACGGCUCCCCAAGGCUCGGAUAAGUAGCUGGUCUGAGAGGAUGGGCAGCCACACUGGGGCGAGGACACGGCCCGGAAUAUUACGCAAGGGGGGAGUGGCGGAUAUAGGAAUGCGGCGGCUAGGAUGAAGGCGCUAGGGCGGGAGAGUACUGAAGGCCUUAGGGUUGUCAAGCGCCUUAAUCCGGGCCGAUAAUGACGGUACCGGAGGAAUAAGCACCGGCUAACUACGUG
rnacentral:rRNA from 1 species